AAGCCAUAUCAGGAGAUACUAUAUAGAAGAACCCGCACAUGUACGGGAAGUCACGAACAGCGGUAGGUAAUUCUCUUCGUGUGCAAUCCCUUCCAAAAUAAAAGCGGCUUUUCCCAACGUGCUCUUUCAACAUUUCAAACAGACGGGGUAAAUUCAAGAAAGAAUCGUCAUCGGCUUUAACAAUAAAAUCGUAGUCAUGCUUUGGCUCGCCGAGAUCUUGGAAUUCCUUCAUACCAGGCAACUCAUAUGUCUUAAUACUUUGAUUAUAUAUAAAACUACCAUGAAACUGAGUGCUGGGCAUUAUAAGAUUAUCUGCAAGUUCAGAAAAAAGAGGAAACGGCUGGUAGCCCUCUAAAAAUGUUUGGAAGUAUACAAUGGACUUUCCAGCAUCCACAUUCUCCGGAAUAGGUAGUACUGCUAAGUCACCAUACGUUCGCUGCUCUUCGCGAAUGGUAGCUAAUUCCUGCUCAUUCUCAGGUAAACCAAGGAUAAAUCUAACAUCCACAGUAUCAUUUACGGCAAACUCCUUAAUAUAUUCAUUAUAGUCGGUACGUAAAAAGUUACGCCUAUCCACGUUCUUAGCUUGACUAAAAAUCCCCAAAUACAGUUUGAAAGGUCUGUCGUUCGCAUGGGCAAGCGAUUCAUUUUGCUUAAUGAAGGGAUCUAAAAACAAAUUCUCUACGUAGGCGAGUGAAUGUUCUUCGGCCUGUAGACGAUUUAGUACAAGAAAAGCAAAGGAAAAAGUAGCAACACCGGCAAUUAGCACGUAAAGAAAAAUUUUUUUUUUAGAAUUUGAAAACAUAGUGAAAGAGUUUAAUUAAACGAGCACGUUGCGCCAGGAGGUCAAUUAGAGAGACGUGAAUAUUAAUUGUCCCUUUGAAUAAAAGAAUAAAAUAAAACCAAACUUAAAGAUCGUUGAGAAUUAAACAAAAGACUCCUUGAAUAUAUGAGCCAGCAAACAGAAUAUAACUCUGAAAGGAGUAUAAUGUUUGGUUCUGAAAACAAAGCUGUGCUUGGUGCCAUAUUCACGUCCACCAUAAAUACGCAGUCAUAAUGUAACCAGAAGAGCAGCUACUCAAACCCUUAAUGCCCUCAUAGCGUUGGUAACUAUAAAUGCGUUAACUAUAUAUACCGGGUUGCUACAUUUCUUUAUCUCAGAGUCCAUUAACCAAAGGAUUCAUA